UACAGAGGGGGCAAGCGUUGUUCGGAAUUACUGGGCGUAAAGGGCGCGUAGGCGGCCUUCUAAGUCGAACGUGAAAUCCCCGGGCUCAACCUGGGAACUGCAUCCGAUACUGGAUGGCUUGAAUCCGGGAGAGGGAUGCAGAAUUCCAGGUGUAGCGGUGAAAUGCGUAGAUAUCUGGAGGAAUACCGGUGGCGAAGGCGGCAUCCUGGACCGGCAUUGACGCUGAGUGAGCGAAAGCCAGGGGAGCAAACGGG
rnacentral:rRNA from 1 species